rnacentral:lncRNA from 1 species
CUGUAAUAUAGCCAGUCUCACCGUCUAUAGUCCAGGUCUCACCGUAAUAUAGCCAGUCCUCACCGUAAUAUAGCCAGUCUCAUUAGCCAGUCUCACGUAAUAUAGCCAUCUCACUAUAUAGACCAGUUCACGAAUUAUAGCCGUUCAUAGCCAGUCCUCACCGUAAUUAAUAUAGCCAGUCUCACCGUCAUAUAGCCAGUCUACCGUAUAUAGCCAGUCUACAGUAAUAUAGCCAGUCUCACCGUAAUAUAGCCAGUCUCACCGUAAUAUAGCCAGCCUCUCAGUGCAGCCAGUCUCACCGUAUAUAGUAUAUAGCCAGUCUCACCGUAUAUAGCCAGUCUCACCGUAUUACACAGUACUCAGCCAGUCUCACCGUAUACAGCCAGUCUACCGUAUACAGCCAGUCUCACCGUAUACAGCAAGUCUCACCGUAUACAGCCAGUCUCACCGUAUCAGCCAGUCUCACGUAUAUCUAGAUAGCCAGCUAUCACUCUAUAGUAUAUAGCCAGUCUCACCGUAUCUAGUCUAUAGCCAGUCUCACCGUAUAUAAGUAUAUAGCAGCCUCACCGUAUAUAGUAUAUAGCCAGUCUCACCGUUUAUCGCCUCACCGAUUAGUAUUAGCCGCUACGUAUAUAGUAUAUAGCCGUCUCACCGUUAUUAUAAGC